GUUUCAGGGCGGGGUGAAAUUCCUCACCGGAGGUAAUGUGCAUAUGCACGAGUCCUCGACCGAGCGGCUGAUAAAGAGCCUGUUCGCUGAUUUCGGUGCGAUCCCGAAACCGACGGUAUAGUCCGGAUGAAAGAAAC
rnacentral:ncRNA from 1 species